GUAGGGAAUAUUGGACAAUGGGGGCAACCCUGAUCCAGCGACGCCGCGUGAGUGAUGAAGGCCUUCGGGUCGUAAAGCUCUGUUGCAGGGGAAGAACACAAUGACGGUACCCUGCUAGAAAGGAUUGGCUAACUUCGUGCCAGCAGCCGCGGUAAGACGAGGGAUCCUAGCGUUGUUCGGAAUUAUUGGGCGUAAAGCGGGUGCAGGUGGCUUGGUAAGUCAGAUGUGAAAGCCUGGGGCUUAACCCCAGAAGUGCAUUUGAUACUGCUGAGCUUGAGUGCUGGAGAGGCUAUUAGAAUUCCUGGUGUAGUGGUGAAAUACGUAGAUAUCAGGAGGAAUACCGGAGGCGAAGGCGGAUAGCUGGCCAGACACUGACACUCAGACCCGAAAGCGUGGGGAUCAAACAGGAUUAGAAACCCGUGUAGUCC
rnacentral:rRNA from 1 species